rnacentral:rRNA from 1 species
AUGGCGCCCCUGUUCCCCGCGCCCGUGUCCCUCGAUGCUCGCCGUAGCUGCAGCUCCUCCAGCCUCGUCAAAUCCCAGCGCUGCCGGUGCCUCCUCCUCCCUUGCUCCUGGACGCGCCCGGCCGCCCGCAGCCGCCGUCGACCGCGCCCACAGGAGCCAGUAGUUGCAGCCCCGAGCCCUCUGCUUCUUCCCUGCCGGCGUCCGAGGCCGCAGCCUCCCCUGCCGCGGCCACCUUUUUUCCUCGCCCUUCCAUCUUCGCGGCUGCGCCAGCUCGCCUCUGCUCCGCGCCGGUCCUCCUCUACCAUGGCCUCGGCCUCCUCUGCAUAG